ensembl:lincRNA
AGAACAUAUCUCCAGCAGAUAAGGGAAGGCUCCUGUUUCGGCAACUGUUCUGUUUUGUGAGAUUAAUGGAGUACUCAAAGUCAGAAUCGUUAGUGUUCUGAGUCAAGGAAUAUUUAACUGGAUAAUGGAUUUAGAGAUCUAGGAUGUGAUUUUGACUGCCCUUCUGGAAAAGUCAUAAUGCCUCAGGCCAUGGAAACAGGAAACUGGAACUGAGUUUCUCACAUAAAGUUCUGUACCAUCAAAGAUCAUUCUCAUUGUGAAACGGGAAGUAGAAUAUUUUACUCACCAGUCCUAAGGAAGCACCAUCUAUCUAAGUUCAUUCAUUUUAUAAAGUAGAAGGUAUAAUAUGGAAAUGGAAAGGAGCAAAGAGAUUCACUGUCCACUUGGAGUCCUAUGAGAAUAGUGACCCAGGAGGAAUAUCAAACCUUAGCCUAUGCCAGGCCUGAAGGCACUGUCUGAAUUUACAAUACCUACCAGGUAUAGCCGGUCAAAUUCCUCUAAAAGAUCACUGCUAUUUUGGAAUUCUGUUGGAAACCUGAUUUCAGACUAUUUGUGGAUCAACCAGUGACUUCAAGGAGGGAGCAUGAAUUAUCUGCAACUUUCAUUGAAUUAUUCAGUACCUACCAUGCAUGAUUCUAAUUGUUUCAAAGGUAUCUCCCUUAAAAAUAAAUGGCUUUUCAGCU